AUACGUAGGGAGCGAGCGUUGUCCGGAAUUACUGGGUGUAAAGGGAGCGUAGGCGGGAUCACAAGUCAGAUGUGAAAACUAUGGGCUUAACCCAUAAACUGCAUUUGAAACUGUGGUUCUUGAGUGAAGUAGAGGUGAGCGGAAUUCCUAGUGUAGCGGUGAAAUGCGUAGAUAUUAGGAGGAACAUCAGUGGCGAAGGCGGCUUACUGGGCAGCAACUGACGCUGAGGCGCGAAAGCCAGGGGAGC
rnacentral:rRNA from 1 species